UGCACAAAUUCAUCACAUAUUAGAUAAAUUGAUAUCGAUGUUUAAUCACAACCCAUUCAAUCUUCUUGUACAUAUACACUAAUGUCGGAAAUGUUUUGUAUUAGAGUUCUUCCUUCAAGCAAGUGAAGUUAUAUUCUUUAGCGGAUGAGAAAGCCCACCAAAAUUACACGGGCAGAUUAGUCAACUCAUCUUAAUGGACUUAUCCAACAUACAUCGGCUGCACCAAAAUUUUCUCUACCCAUAAUACUUUAGUCAGCAGGUUCUCCUAACUUUCCAUAACAACAACACCCACACCCACUGCAAGAUGACAAACCUUUCAAAGAAUUUUGCUGACCUAUGUUUGGCUCCUCCCAACAAGAUUGGAAUGCUAGCAUAAACUCUCUAACAAUGACUACCAUCAGUCCAAACAAACUCAACUCCACUUGCUUUUGCAUUCUCUCUCUGUUUCUGUACCUUUCUGGCUCUGCAUUUUCUAGCUGUAUUGCUAAGGAAUUACCGGGUAUCCUGGUUUGGUUCUGCUCACUCUUGAAACUGGGUGAAUUAGUACAUAAGUGUUGGCGAUGUUGAGUUCUUCUACUACUUUGUGAAG